CCCCUCCCAGGAUUGAACCUGGAGAGUAUUCAGUACUUUGCCAGUGUCGGCUAUAGGAGGGAGAAUCAAGCAGAGACAUACCUAUUCCAUUCCUAGCUUGUAUAGUGGCUAGCAAGUGGAAGGCAAUCUGCUACAAGU